AUUUUGGUAGCUUAAAAUAUUAAAGCAUAAUAUUGAAGAUAUUAUUAUAGUUAUAAACUUCAAAAUA
rnacentral:tRNA from 1 species